GCCAAGUUGAGAAGAAAGGGCUAGAAGCCCUGAAGUGCUCGAAAAGGGACAGGCAUUCAGAGGUCUGCUAUAGAAGAGGAUCACACAAGACUCCCAGGCCACAGUAAGAUCUGGGCAUUUCUCGAAGGCUUGACAGCUGGAAGUCCCAUUGAACAUUCUCAUUGCCUAUGUUACAUUUGGAGCCUAUAGACGGCUUACUGGCCUUGGCAGGGGUGCACUGGAUUUAUCUGAGACAACAAGGCCCCGAGGGUGCAGACAGCUGAUCUAUAUUCAGCCGUAAGAAAUAAAGAGAAACAUGGAUUCCCAA